UACGGGGGGAGCAAGCGUUGUUCGGAUUUACUGGGCGUAAAGGGCGCGUAGGCGGCGCAACAAGUCACUUGUGAAAUCUCUGGGCUUAACCCGGAGCGGCCAAGUGAUACUGUCGUGCUAGAGUGCGGAAGGGGCUACUGGAAUUCUCGGUGUAGCGGUGAAAUGCGUAGAUAUCGAGAGGAACACCUGCGGCGAAGGCGGGUAGCUGGGCCGACACUGACGCUGAGGCGCGAAAGCGUGGGGAGCGAACAGG
rnacentral:rRNA from 1 species